UACGGAGGAUCCAAGCGUUAUCCGGAUUUAUUGGGUUUAAAGGGUGCGUAGGCGGCCUGUUAAGUCAGGGGUGAAAGACGGUAGCUCAAUUAUCGCAGUGCCCUUGAUACUGAUGGGCUUGAAUACACUAGAGGUAGGCGGAAUGUGACAGUAGCGGUGAAAUGCAUAGAUAUGUCACAGAACACCGAUUGACGAAGCAGCUUACUGGGCUGUAACUGACGCUGAUGCACGAAAAGUGUGGGGGAGUCAAAAC
rnacentral:rRNA from 1 species